AUUGAACGCUGGCGGCAGGCCUAACACAUGCAAGUCGAGCGGAUGAAGGGAGCUUGCUCCUGGAUUCAGCGGCGGACGGGUGAGUAAUGCCUAGGAAUCUGCCUGGUAGUGGGGGAUAACGUCCGGAAACGGGCGCUAAUACCGCAUACGUCCUGAGGGAGAAAGUGGGGGAUCUUCGGACCUCACGCUAUCAGAUGAGCCUAGGUCGGAUUAGCUAGUUGGUGGGGUAAAGGCCUACCAAGGCGACGAUCCGUAACUGGUCUGAGAGGAUGAUCAGUCACCUGGGAGCGUGACCAGGCACAAUAGUACUGAGGGACGCAGCAGAGUGGAAUAUUAGGCAGAAGUCGAGAGCAUGAUACAGUCAUGCGACGUGUGAUAAGACGGUGUUGCGAUUGUGAAGCACGCUAACGUGGGAUGAACCGCAGUCAGUUGUGACCUAGCUGUAGUGACGGUACCGACAGAAGAAGCACCGGCUAACUACGUG
rnacentral:rRNA from 1 species